rnacentral:rRNA from 1 species
UACGUAGGGUGCGAGCGUUGUCCGGAAUUAUUGGGCGUAAAGAGCUUGUAGGCGGUUUGUCGCGUCUGCUGUGAAAAUCCGGGGCUCAACCCCGGACUUGCAGUGGGUACGGGCAGACUAGAGUGCGGUAGGGGAGAUUGGAAUUCCUGGUGUAGCGGUGGAAUGCGCAGAUAUCAGGAGGAACACCAAUGGCGAAGGCAGAUCUCUGGGCCGUAACUGACGCUGAGGAGCGAAAGCAUGGGGAGCGAACAGG